GACGAACGCUGGCGGCGUGCUUAACACAUGCAAGUCGAACGGAAAGGCCCUGCUUUUGUGGGGUGCUCGAGUGGCGAACGGGUGAGUAACACGUGAGUAACCUGCCCUUGACUUUGGGAUAACUUCAGGAAACUGGGGCUAAUACCGGAUAGGAGCUCCUGCUGCAUGGUGGGGGUUGGAAAGUUUCGGCGGUUGGGGAUGGACUCGCGGCUUAUCAGCUUGUUGGUGGGGUAGUGGCUUACCAAGGCUUUGACGGGUAGCCGGCCUGAGAGGGUGACCGGCCACAUUGGGACUGAGAUACGGCCCAGACUCCUACGGGAGGCAGCAGUGGGGAAUAUUGCACAAUGGGCGGAAGCCUGAUGCAGCAACGCCGCGUGCGGGAUGACGGCCUUCGGGUUGUAAACCGCUUUCGCCUGUGACGAAGCGUGAGUGACGGUAAUGGGUAAAGAAGCACCGGCUAACUACGUGCCAGCAGCCGCGGUGAUACGUAGGGUGCGAGCGUUGUCCGGAUUUAUUGGGCGUAAAGGGCUCGUAGGUGGUUGAUCGCGUCGGAAGUGUAAUCUUGGGGCUUAACCCUGAGCGUGCUUUCGAUACGGGUUGACUUGAGGAAGAUAGGGGAGAAUGGAAUUCCUGGUGGAGCGGUGGAAUGCGCAGAUAUCAGGAGGAACACCAGUGGCGAAGGCGGUUCUCUGGGCCUUUCCUGACGCUGAGGAGCGAAAGCGUGGGGAGCGAACAGGCUUAGAUACCCUGGUAGUCCACGCUGUAAACGGUGGGUACUAGGUGUGGGGUCCAUUCCACGGGUUCCGUGCCGUAGCUAACGCUUUAAGUACCCCGCCUGGGGAGUACGGCCGCAAGGCUAAAACUCAAAGGAAUUGACGGGGCCCCGCACAAGCGGCGGAGCAUGCGGAUUAAUUCGAUGCAACGCGUAGAACCUUACCUGGGUUUGACAUGGAUCGGGAGCGCUCAGAGAUGGGUGUGCCUCUUUUGGGGUCGGUUCACAGGUGGUGCAUGGCUGUCGUCAGCUCGUGUCGUGAGAUGUUGGGUUAAGUCCCGCAACGAGCGCAACCCUUGUUCACUGUUGCCAGCACGUUAUGGUGGGGACUCAGUGGAGACCGCCGGGGUCAACUCGGAGGAAGGUGGGGAUGACGUCAAGUCAUCAUGCCCCUUAUGUCCAGGGCUUCACGCAUGCUACAAUGGCUGGUACAGAGAGUGGCGAGCCUGUGAGGGUGAGCGAAUCUCGGAAAGCCGGUCUCAGUUCGGAUUGGGGUCUGCAACUCGACCUCAUGAAGUCGGAGUCGCUAGUAAUCGCAGAUCAGCAACGCUGCGGUGAAUACGUUCCCGGG
rnacentral:rRNA from 1 species